rnacentral:rRNA from 1 species
GACGAACGCUGGCGGCGUGCUUAACACAUGCAAGUCGAACGGAAAGGCCCUGCUUUUGUGGGGUUCUCGAGUGGCGAACGGGUGAGUAACACGUGAGUAACCUGCCCUUGACUUUGGGAUAACUUCAGGAAACUUGGGCUAAUACCGGAUAGGAGCUCCUGCUGCAUGGUGGGGGUUGGAAAGUUUCGGCGGUUGGGGAUGGACUCGCGGCUUAUCAGCUUGUUUGUGGGGUAGUUGCUUACCAAGGCUUUGACGGGUAGCCGGCCUGAGAGGGUGACCGGCGACAUUGGGACUGAGAUACGGCCCAGACUCCAACGGGAGGCAGCAGUGGGGAAUAUUGCACAAUGGGCGGAAGCCUGAUGCAGCAACGCCGCGUGCGGGAUGAAGGCCUUCGGGUUGUAAACCGCUUUCGCCUGUGACGAAGCGUGAGUGACGGUAAUGGGUAAAGAAGCACCGGCUAACUACGUG